rnacentral:lncRNA from 1 species
GCUGAGCUUAGCUAACUCCCAUCCAACCUAACAGAAACAUGAGUGAGAAUAAAUGAUUGUUAUUUUAAAUUACUGAGUUCAGGAUGGCUUGUUACACAGCAAUAGCUAACUGAUACAAACACAUACUGUAAAAGUGCAUGUGUUCAAAACCCACAAAUUCAGAACCUAUGUUGACAGGAUGGGUUAUUCAUUUUUAAAUAAAAUAUGAUAAAUUUCAACACAAUGUAGUAUGUUUAAAAAUGCAAGUGAAGACAAAAUAUGGAGCUAUAAUAAGGGAGAGGACUAUUGAUUCUAUGGAGGAAGGGAGGAAGAACUAGCAGGGACAUAAGGCUUCUUGGAGGAGAGGAGCAUCUGAAUUGCCAUUUUAAAGUUCAGUAGAAGAUCACCGACAGAGAGAAAUAGGGAGAGAGUGGGAACAGAAGGAUUAAUAUUAUGUACAGUUUCGAGGCAAAAAGGGGCACACUAAAUGUGGGGAACCAUUAGCAAUUCAAUAUUACCAGAAGGUUAGUGGUGAGGGACAAUGUGUCUAAAAUCUCUUGAGAGGGUCUGCUAUGCGAGGCCAAGGCACUUUUCUUUUGCCUAACCAUAAGGACAAUGGAGAGCAAUGUAGAUCACUGGCAUGUUUUAAUGUAUUCAAAUUAGUAAUAAUUCUAUUGGUAACAGCUAACAUUUAUUGAGUGCUUACUAGGUGCAAAACACUGGGUCACGUAUAUGUAUUCUUCACAACACUAAAAGACAGGUAUUAUUAUUAUUCCCAUUUAACAGAUGAGGAAACUGAGGCCUAGAGAGGUAAAACAACUUGUCCAAAGUCACAGAGUAACUGUCAGAGUGAGGAUUUGACCAAAACUGCUCAACUCCGGAUUCUUCCUCCCCAACCACUGCUGUUCCUGAUUCUCUAUAUAGCAGAUUGAGGAGUUGGCCAAGUCACUCAGGAAAUUAUUCAACAAACAUAUUGGAACGCAUAUUCCUAAUGUUACAAUUUCAACAUACUUUAUAGACUCUUGUUACAUGGAAGUCACUGCGCCAGUCAAUGAAGACUUCAAGUAUGAAGAGGACUUGAUCUUUGCCGUUAAGAAAUUUGAGUGACAGAAAAUCAAUGCUUAGUGCCAACAACUUUUGUCUGUUCAUUAAAACUCUCCAAGAUAUGCAGAGCUUUGGGCCAGGAUCCUACAGCCACGGGUCAUGCAGAGCCAGUUGGCCACAUCCUUUGGGCCAAAUUUGGUCCUAACCAGGUCUUACCACGGUAACUGCUAACCAGUCCAUCUUCAGUUAAUAUUUCAUGCGUAAGAUGUUUCAUGAAGUAACUGAAUGGGCUAAUGGGUUGUUCACUGGAUAAGACUCCCAGAUACUCCCUUUCAUGCCAUUCCCCAGAAUUCCUUCACCUCCCAGUGCUGUCUGUAAGGGUGAAGAUACUCCAUUUUGCCCCAUGCUCUUUGCUGUGCCCCAGAUAGGCUCAAACAUUUUUCCCUUUUGGGGAUUUUGCAGGUAGGAAUUGUUGAACAUCUUACCAUUUAAUCCAGAAGUUAUGUCCUUUAAGGAAUCGACCCUGAGCCUGUGAGUUUUACUUUGGGUUGGGGGUGAAGGAGUGGACCUUGCAGCAUUCAAGGUCAUCCAAGAUCAUCCAGUUAAGGCCCCUAAGGUCACUACGGGGGGAAAAGCCUGGUGAGGGAAGAGAAAGCAUUAGGGGGAGCUGCACCGUGCUGAGAAAUAACACCACACAGAAGUCUGUGUUCUAAUCUCAGCUCUGCUUUGCAUUACUGUGUGACCUGGAGCUGAUCACAGCCCUCUGAGUCUUAAAGGGGUUGGACAAGGCCAACUAAACAUUAGAAACACCUGAAAGUGCUGGUUAAAAGGAAGAAUGCAUGAGCUUCACUCCAGAUUUACUAUAUCAGAAUUUCCAGGGUCAGGGUCCAAGAAUCUGCAUGUUUAAUACGCUUUCCACAUGAUUUUUCCCCCCUCUGGACUUAAGAAAACAAUGGGCAAGUCAGCUCAUGAAGAACUUUUCAGAUAUUCAGACUAUUAUUCUGAGAGAGAAAAUAUUGGCAGAGAACAGAUGGGAUUUUUCUCAAGGAAAAGAAAUGGAAAUCCUACAUCUUGCAAGAAAUAGAAAAAAAUAAAUAAACUGUUUGAAGAAGAAUCACAUCAGGCUGGCAGGAGAGAGCCUGCGGCUCGGUGUCUGACCCAGAAUGUUAAAGCCAGCCUGGCUUGGCUCCAGGAUAAAGGACACUCUGUCAGCCUCUCCACAUUGAUUCAUCUCCCCAGCCCCAAGAUCAGGAGAGCAUUCUGUUCCUUGAAGCAUUUUAUGACUGUAAGUCAGAAGUGCUGCAGUUUUAAUAAAAAGCUGUAUUGUCCUGAU